rnacentral:rRNA from 1 species
UACGAAGGGGGCUAGCGUUGCUCGGAAUUACUGGGCGUAAAGGGCGCGUAGGCGGCUCUGUUAGUCAGGCGUGAAAUUCCUGGGCUCAACCUGGGGACUGCGCUUGAUACGGCAGAGCUUGAGGAUGGAAGAGGGUCGCGGAAUUCCCAGUGUAGAGGUGAAAUUCGUAGAUAUUGGGAAGAACACCGGUGGCGAAGGCGGCGACCUGGUCCAUUACUGACGCUGAGGCGCGAAAGCGUGGGGAGCAAACAGG